rnacentral:rRNA from 1 species
GAUGAACGCUGGCGGCGUGCCUAAUACAUGCAAGUCGAGCGAACAGACGAGGCUCUUGCUGCUCUGACGUUAGCGGCGCACGGGUGAGUAACACGUGGAUAACCUACCUAUAAGACUGAGAUAACUUCGGGAAACCGGCGCUAAUACCGGAUAAUAUAUUGAACCGCAGGGUUCAAUAGUGAAAGACGGUUUUGCUGUCACUUAUAGAUGGAUCCGCGCCGCAUUAGCUAGUUGGUAAGGUAAAGGCUUACCAAGGCAACGAUGCGUAGCCGACCUGAGAGGGUGAUCGGCCACACUGGAACUGAGACACGGUCCUGAGUCCUACGGGAGGCAGCAGUAGGGAAUCUUCCGCAAUGGGCGAAAGCCUGACGGAGCAACGCCGCGUGAGUGAUGAAGGUCUUCGGAUCGUAAAACUCUGUUAUUAGGUAAGAACAAAUGUGUAAGUAACUAUGCACGUCUUGACGGUACCUAAUCAGAAAGCCACGGCUAACUACGUG